ACACUGCCAUAAGUAUUACCUGUUGAAACUUGCCUUGUAGGGUUUAAACAUGUCCUCUUCAGGAUUUUAGUCAUUUCUAAUAAAGCCACUGGCAUUUUAUUAAAAAAUCAUUGAUGGGAAAGGGCGUUCCCAUUGUGGCUCAGUGGUAAUGAACCCAACUAGUGUCCAUGAGGAUGCAGGUUCGAUCCCUGGCCUCACUCAGUGGGUUAAGGAUCUGGCGUUGCUGUGAGCCGCAGGGUAGGUCACAGACGUGGCUCAGAUCUAGUCUAUAUUGCUGUGGCCUAUUGGUGUAGGCCGGCAGCUGUAGCUCCCAUUCAAUCCCUAGCCAGGGAGCUUCCAUAUGCUGCAGGUGCAGCCCUAAAAAAAAGAGAAGUGAUGGGAAUGGAAGGACCGAAACCUCAAAAGUUAUUGUGGCUUUCUCCUCAGGACAGGGGUUCCCUCGUCCACCCCGAACACUUGCAUCUCCGUGGUCCUAAAAAAGAGGAGAGGAGAAAGGCGAUGGUUCUUUUCGAACUUGGUUUUAGCCUCUGCUGCAAUUCCAAAACAAUGAAGACUCACCAAGACUUGGGAGUCCACUGGGGUUUAGUGGGUGGGGCAGAAAACAGGGAUUCUGGCUCAAGACGGCUGCUAUAGCGUGAGCGUUGAUGAAGAGAGUGUGGGUUGGAAGUUACUUAUUAGACCCGUUCGUUAUACCUUGGCUGGUAUUCAGAGCUUGGGUCUCCCUGUCACCAUGACGAAGGAUGGGAGCCAGCAGCAUCGUGGCCUGUCCAAUCCAUUCUGACUGCCGAGCCCUUGUUAUUUAGAAGAUUGUCAUUGGAAUCAGAGUUUAGACCCUCAGAGCCAUGGCUUGGAGGAGAUUCAGGCAACGCUCAAACUAGAACCCCAGACUUCUGACGCCCUGCCAGCUUACUGACCUCCAGCUUGUGUUUGGUUUUCUUUCUGGCGUGUUUUCACAAUAACAGAAACGUUCAAGUCAAAUCACUCUACUAAGUGGGAAAAUUUUUUUUUUAGGUCAACCAGGGGAAUGGAGUGAAUAGAUUUACUUUUCAGUUGGGUGUGUUUGGUCAUGUGAAGAAAACCACACACUCAGAAAGUCUUCGUGUUAGGAUUUUUUUUAACUCAAAAUGAUUAAAGGGCGGUGGAGUAGGGAACAGACCUUCUACAUAGCACACUGUCUACACCUCCGUUCGGUUACCUGCACUCCUGUUGGGUGUUUUGGGGCUCGUUUGAAGGUGAGAGGUUGGUUCUGGCCCCCUGACCACCCCGUCUCCUUCUGCUAAGGAAAUAUUCUCAUGAGUUUUUUUUUUUUUUUUUUUUCUUUUACAAUGUGCUUAGACUGUGAAAAGGCACCAACUUCCAGCCCAAACUGAAUCGCCUCCGAGAUCCUAUUAAACAGCGAAUGCCCCGCACACCACUGUAUGAAAAUGUUUUUCUAGGAUGAGCUCAAAGCAUUUCAUCCUCCAAAUGAAAUCUAUCUGCUCGCACUUAGAUUGUUCGAAGGCAGAUGGUAGGCAAUUGAAACAGAGAGGCAAGCUGGC
rnacentral:lncRNA from 1 species